rnacentral:ribozyme from 1 species
ACAUUUCAAGAAAAAAAAAGGAAAAAAACGGAAAAAAAAAAAAAAGUUCCUCGUCUACAGACGACCAUCGGCAACCUUUGGUUGGAGGUUCUUUUGGGUUUUUUUUUACCUAUUUUUUUUUUCUCUUUUGAAUUGUUUUUUUAUUCUUCAUCAAACAUAACAGAUUUUUGAAGAAGAAGAAGUUGGUUGGGUGAAGAUCUCUCUUGUACAGAAAAAAAAAAAGA